rnacentral:lncRNA from 1 species
UUCUUAUUACAUCAUCAUAUACACAUGACAUACAAGCCAAAUAGGCCAACAUAAUUAUUUAUAAACUCAAAACAUAGGCCGACAAGGCUGUACAAUCUUUCACAUACACGACAUAUGUCUACAAGCCUCUAAGAGUACAUAAAUGUCAUAAAGGUGGGGAUAGAGUCCCACCAUAACAAACAAUACACGUCAAAAUCACACUAAUCAAACAAGUAACUCCGAAGCAAAUGGUGCGUACCAACAUCUUCCGCUGAGCUAAUAGCCUACUUGGAGGGCUCUCCACCUAUCUAUCGGGACCUGUGGGCAUGAACGCAGUGUCCCCAGGCAAAAGGGAUGUCAGUACGAAUAAUGUACCGAGUAUGUAAGGCACAUAAAUAAGUACAUAAGAGACAUGGAAGAAAUAUAGAGUACAUGACUCAACCUGUAAGUAUGAAUAAAUUUGUAAAAUUAUAAAUUACUUUUAGCGUCAUGCAUAUGCGUAUGAAUGCCAUGUCGUGCAUAGGUACAUGUUACAUAACAUCAUCAGCCUCUGAGGGCAUCCCAUCAUAUCAUAUCAGCCACUGUGGGCAAAAUCAUCAUUGUAUACCAGCUGAUCAGGUGGUGGUGCGUAUAUAACGCCAUAACCUUUCCCAUAUCACAUAUCCAUAUAUAUACAUAAAUAUAUAUAUGCGUAUAUAACGUCGUUUGAAUCAUAUUUCAGCCACUAUAGGCAACAUCAUUAUCAUAUACCAGCUGAUUAGGUGGUGGUGCAUAUAUAACGCCGUAACCUUUUCAUAUAUCUCAUUUAAAUAUAUUUACAUAUAUACGCAUCUAUAACAUCGUUUGAAUCAUAUUUCAGCCAUUGUGGGCAACAUCACUAUCAUAUACCAACUGAUCAGGUGGUGGUGCGUAUAUAACGUCGUAACCUUUUUCCAUAUCCGAUAUACAUAUAUUUACAUAUAUACACGUAUAUAAUGUCAUCUGGUCAUGGGUCAGUGCACAUGAGUGAAAUGUAUGAAAAAUACGUAAUAAUCUCAAUAUUCCUUCCGGAUAAACCUUUCCAACUGCGUAUUAUUCUGAGACCCAUAAACAGAAAACAAUAAUAAUUUUCAUGGGGAAUCAAUAAUAUAGACACCCCUAAUAAUUCUAUGAAUAGAGUAAUUUAUGGAAACUGUGUGUUUGCUCGUUUCGUCAGUAUAAUUUGGAUCAUGCCAAAAGAAAGAAGGGAUGACCUUAACAUACCUGGAGUAGGAAAAAACCCAUAUGAUAUUCUUGGAAAAAGGUUGCACCGUACUCCUUUAGAACCGCAAAAUUUUACGUUGCUAAGGUGCUAAUAAUUCUUGCUGUAAUUGAUUUGGUCGUUCAAAGUUUGUUGGAAUUUCUAACGUUUUGUCUAUAUGUUCAUAUUUGAUGCUGGAGCUUUUUGAUGUUGUUAUGGAAUUCUUGACAUUUUGUGAGCUUUCAAGCAAGAAUGUUGAAAGCUUUCAAACAAGAACGUUCAUAUGUGAUGUUGGAGCUUUCUUGCUAAGGUGCUAAUUGUAGUGUUUUUAGUAGGUGAAAACAUUAGUCAUGAAAAUGACUUAUAAUGAACCUAUUAAGUUGCCACCUAACUAAAGGUGACUAAUAUUCAUCUUAUGGAAAGUGGCUUGCUGCCACGUGGGGUGAGGGAUAAUUAUUAAGUUUUUAUCCACUUAUUAAUUAAUCAGGUAAUGUCCUGUUACUCGGCAAUUAAUCAAUUACCCAAAAAAUUUAGAAUUAUUCUCACUUACUUAAAAUUUUACUUACUUUUCACAUACCUUAUACAAUUUUCUAGCAUGGGCAUAUAGUACCUUGCAUGUCACUAGUCCAUAAAUAUCGGGUAUUUUAGCUAGGGCCGUAUUUUAUCCCAAUAUGCCAAACUUGGACGAAAAAUUUAUUUUAUUCGACUUGCUUCCCCUUUCACCUUUAUAAAUUUACUCAUCACCUGUGAAAUAGCAUAAUUCUUAUAGUCUCCAAUUAAUCUUUUACUUGGACUGAUGUCAAUUACCUUAUGACAAAUCCAACGUACAAUACUACAGGGUGCAACAUCGUCGUAACUUAAUACUGCGAAGUGUGACAUUACCGUAAUGUAAUACUACUGGGUAGAACACUGUCAUAACUUAAUACUGUUAGAUGUAACAUCAUCAUAAUAUCUUACUGUAGAGGGUGACAUCAUCGUAACAUAUUACUGCAGAGCAUAACAUUGUUGUAAUAUAAUAUUGCGCGACGUAAUAUUGUGGGUUGUAACACCAUUCCCCCCUUUGGAACAUUCGUCCUCAAAUGUUGACUGAUGCUCUUAUCAUUUUCGUAACUUAUAGCUCUUGUGAAUACCUUAAUACUUUUCUUUCCAUUUAAGCAAUUGCUAUGUGAAUAAAUCCAAAGUCUAGGGUAUUCCUCCCUUUAGUCUUUUUGUUCAUAUCAUGACCUUUGAUCAAAAUCUUCCUAAUCUUGCAACUUCUGUUACCUCCUGUCAUGCAGCAUGUAUGAUCCUGGCUUUUUAGGUGCACUUAUAAGAUUCAUCUUUCCUUUUUCCUUUUAUAUUUUAUUCAAUCUCUAGGCCUUACUUUGUAUAUAUAAGUCUUAAUAGGAUGCCUCUCUGGGCCUCUAUAGGUAUAUUGAAGUCCUUUACUCGAUACUUUGUAGAACUUACGAAUAUAGCNAUAUCUUANNNNNNNNNNNNNNNNNNNNNNNNNNNNNNNNNNNNNNNNNNNNNNNNNNNNNNNNNNNNNNNNUUUACAUGGGUUAUACUAUACAAUAAUUUUUUCUUCAAUCUACCUUUACCGAGGUAUGCUUACCAAGUUCCCAGUUACUUUUGUUGCCUACCAUUAAGGUAUAAAUUUCAGUCCUUCAAUGCCCCUUCAUUACUGUUCGUCUUAAGAAUCAUGGCCUAAUCUCAUAUCAUACUUUGUAACUUAUAUACAUUAUCGCUAGGGCUUACAUUUUAUUGAGGAAUAUUUGAAGUAAUUUCCAUAAUCAUGUUUCAUAGUGUCUCAAUGUGAUUCACCUUAUGGGGUAUCUUAAUUUCGUGCCGUUAGCAAAAUCUUUUUCUCUUUCUCUUCUUCUAUUUUCUUUUUUUUGUCAAAUAAUUAUUCAAACGAAGGCCUAAACUUCAUCCUUUAUCUGUGACAAUUAUACCCUCAUUUUAUUACUGGGUCAACAUUUCAUUCUUUCUAAAUGCCAUUCGUCUUUGACUCCUUUGAUUUCAUUCAGGCUAUACUAAGCUUUGUAUAACAUAGAGAAACCAUAUGCUCUUCUUGUUUUCAUGGGCUUAAUUCUAAGGACUUAUCCAUUUUGUUACUUUUCCAUUCGCAUAUUUUUAUCCUUGCUCCUGUCUUCUAAAACUUUUUCGCUUCACCAUACAAUAACUUGUGACCUAUACAUCUCUAUUUAUUUUACUUGCAAUCUUUCAACUUGCUUGCAUCAUAGAUUUCCUUAUGUUAUUUAGAACAUCAAGUGAGACAUCACAUUGUCUCUAACUCUUCUUUACUUUCUUGGUCAAGCUUUUCGACACCUAGACCAUAGGCUGGAAGGUACGCUACUGACGAUGCCACUACUAUUCCUAGAUAAUGAAUCCUCGUGCUUCUGGCCCUUUUAUCCGAAGUAUGGACUACUCACGAUCUUCUACCUUUGAGUAUCUCGUACGUUGUUCACCUUUACCUUACUUACCUUAAAAUCUCGCAUCGUAUCAUCUAUCUUUUUUAUGACCUCCCUUCCACCUAAGUGUAAAUCACGUCCAUAACUUGAAGCUCUAUUGUAAUACUCGCACCUCUGGUACAUACACAAUUCGGUGGGAGAUUCGUACUAACUUCUUAUGAGGCUGAUACUUCUUCUAACUGGCUUCCUUGUAGAGCCAUUAUAGAUUAUUGUUAUUGUGUUAUUUCUCUUGAACAUUUAAUUAUUGGACCUAGAAAAAUUAUAGAAAUUGUGCUUGAGAACUUGACAGAAAGAUGUUGCACCCCGCAAUAUUAUGUCAAUAUUACGUCCCGCAGUAUUAUAUUACGACGAUGUUAUGCUCUGAAGUAAUAUGUUACGAUGAUGUCACACUCUAUAGUAAUAUAUUACGAUGAUGUUAUGUCCAGCAGUAUUAAGUUACGACAGUGUUCUACCCAGUAGUAUUACAUUACGGUAAUGUCACACUUCGCAGUAUUAAGUUACGAUGAUGUUGCACCCUGUAGUACUGUACGUUGGAUUUGUCGUAAGGUAAUUGAUAUCAGUCCAUGUAAAAUAUUAUUUGAAGAUUAUAAGUAUUAUGCUAUUUCACAAGUAAGAAUAAAUUCGUAAAGGUGAAAGGGGAAGCAAGUCAAAGAAAAUGAAUUUUUCGUCCAAGUUUGGCAUAUUGGGGUAAAAUACGGCCCAACCUAAAAUACCUAGUAUUUAUGGACUUGUGACAUGCAAGGUACUACAUGCCCAUGCUAGAAAAGUGUAUAAGAUAAGUGAAAAGUGAGUAAUAUUUUAAGUAAGUGAGAAUAAUUCUAAAAUUUUCGGGUAAUUGGUUAAUUACCGGGUAACGGGACAUUACAUGAUUAACUAAUAAGUGGAUAAAAAUAUAAUUAUUAUCCCCCACCCCACGUGGCAGCAAGCCACUUUCCAUAAGAUGACUAUUAGUCACCUUUAGUUAGAUGGCAACUUAAUAGGUUCAUUAUAAGUCAUUUUCGUGACUAAUGUUUUCACCUACUAAAAACACUACAAUCAGCACCUUAGCAAGAAAGCUCCAACAUCACAUAUGAACGUUCUUGUUUGAAAGCUUUCAACAUUCUUGCUUGAAUGCUCACAAAAUGUCAAGAAUUCCAUAACAACAUCAAAAAGCUCCAGCGUCAAAUAUGAACAUAUAUACAAAACGUUAGAAAUUCC